CCCUUAGAUGUUCUGGGCCGCACACGCGCUACACUGAAGGAGGCAGCGUGUACUCCUGGAUCGAAAGAUUUGGGUAACCCGCGAAUCUCCUUCGUGCUAGGGAUUGAGGUUUGCAAUUAUCCUUCAUGAACGAGGAAUUCCCAGUAAGUGCAAGUCGUAAGCUUGCGCUGACUACGUCCCUGCCCUUUGUACACACCGCCCGUCGCUACUACCGAUUGAAUGAUUUAGUGAGGACUUCGGACUGGGACCGAUGCGGCUUUCGGGCUGCGUCGGUAUUCUGGAAAGAUGUCCAAACUGUAUCAUUUAGAGGAAGUAAAAGUCGUAACA
rnacentral:rRNA from 1 species